rnacentral:lncRNA from 1 species
ACCCCCUUUCCUUAACCUUACAGGUGAGCCUUGAUGUGGGGACUUGGGCCGGAGGGGAUUCAGAGUAGUCACGGUGAUCGUCUUUGGACUUUUAAAUAACCGUUGGUUUUCCUUAAAUUUCCUUUAAUUAUUAUUUAUUUUUGGGUUGUAAUAAGGCCAUUUUAACUUUCCUUUUAUUUCUUUUCAGGAUUAUUUUAAUUUUAAUAACUUUAAAACUGGUUGAUAAUUAUUCAAAUGGGCUAGACUUAGGACGUGUUUUCAAAACGAUACUUGUUUUCAAAAUAUCUCAAC